UAUCAGAUAUAGAAGGUGGUGAUGGACUGCAGCUCAGAAAGGAACAUACUCUCAAAAUAUUUGCUUAUAUCAAUUCCUGGACUCAGAGGCAAUGUCUGUGCUGCUUCAAGGAAUAUAAGCAUUUGGAGAUUUUUAACCAAGUAGUGUGUGCACUUAUUAACUUAGUGAUUGCCCAAGUUCAAGUGCUCCGGGACCAGCUUUGUAAACAUUGUACUACCGUUAACAUAGAUUCCACGUGGCAAGAUGAGAGUAAUCAAGCAGAAGAACCACUGAGUAUAGAUAGAGAAUGUAAUGAAGGAAAUGCAGAAAGACAAAAAUCAAUAGAAAAAAAAUCAAACUCUACAAGAAUUUGUAAUCUGUCUGAGGAAGAAUCUUCAAAGAGUUCUGAUCCUUUUAGUUUAUGGAGUACAGAUGAGAAGGAAAAACUAUUACUGUGUGUAGCAAAAAUUUUUCAAAUUCAGUUUCCCUUAUAUACUGCUUACAAGCAUAAUACUCAUCCUACUAUAGAGGAUAUAUCGACGCAAGAAAGUAACAUAUUAGGGGCAUUCUGUGAUAUGAAUGAUGUAGAAGUACCCUUGCAUUUGCUUCGUUAUGUCUGUCUGUUUUGUGGGAAAAAUGGCCUUUCUCUUAUGAAAGAUUGUUUUGAAUAUGGAACUCCUGAAACUUUGCCGUUUCUUAUAGCACAUGCAUUUAUUACAGUUGUUUCUAAUAUUAGGAUAUGGCUACAUAUCCCUGCUGUCAUGCAGCAUAUUAUACCUUUUAGAACGUAUGUUAUCAGGUAUUUAUGCAAGCUCUCUGAUCAGGAGUUACGACAGAGUGCAGCUCGUAACAUGGCUGACUUAAUGUGGAGUACAGUGAAAGAGCCAUUGGAUACAACACUAUGCUUUGAUAAAGAAAGCCUGGAUCUUGCUUUUAAGUACUUUAUGUCACCAACUUUGACCAUGAGGUUGGCUGGAUUGAGUCAGAUAACAAAUCAGCUUCAUACUUUCAAUGAUGUGUGCAAUAACGAAUCAUUGGUAUCAGACACAGAAACGUCCAUUGCAAAGGAACUUGCUGACUGGCUUAUUAGCAACAAUGUAGUGGAGCAUAUAUUUGGACCAAAUUUACAUAUUGAGAUUAUUAAGCAGUGCCAAGUGAUUUUGAAUUUCUUGGCAGCAGAAGGACGAUUGAGUACUCAGCAUAUUGACUGCAUUUGGGCUGCAGCACAGCUGAAGCACUGUAGUCGAUAUAUUCAUGACUUAUUUCCCUCACUCAUCAAGAAUCUGGAUCCUGUACCACUUAGACAUUUACUUAAUCUGGUCUCAGCUCUUGAGCCAAGUGUUCAUACUGAACAGACACUUUACUUGGCAUCCAUGUUAAUUAAAGCUUUGUGGAAUAAUGCACUUGCAGCUAAGGCCCAACUAUCUAAACAGAGUUCGUUUGCAUCUUUAUUAAACACUAAUGUGCCCAUUGGAAAUAAAAAAGAAGAAGAAGAGCUGAGAAGAGCAGCUCCUUCACCUUGGUCUCCUGCAGCAAGUCCUCAAAGUAGUGACAACAGUGAUACACAUCAGAGUGGAGCCAGUGACAUUGAAAUGGAUGAGCAGCUUAUUAAUAGAACCAAACAUGUGCAGCAGCGACUCUCUGACACAGAGGAAUCCAUGCAAGGAAGUUCUGAUGAAACUGCUAACAGUGGUGAAGAUGGAAGCAGUGGUCCUGGUAGCAGUAGUGGGCACAGUGAUGGAUCUAGCAAUGAAGUCAAUUCAAGCCAUGCAAGCCAGUCAGCUGGCAGCCCUGGAAGUGAGGUGCAAUCAGAAGACAUUGCAGACAUUGAAGCCCUUAAAGAAGAAGAUGAUGAUGAUGAUCAUGGUCACAAUCCUCCCAAAAAUAGUUGUGGUACAGAACUUCGAAAUAGAAAGUUAGAAAAUCAAGCGGGCAUUUGCUUGGGGGAAUCCCAAGGCACAUCUGAAAGAAAUGGGACAAGCAGUGGAACAGGAAAGGACCUGGUUUUUAAUACUGAGUCAUUGCCAUCUGUAGAUAAUCGAAUACGAAUGCUAGAUGCCUGUGCUCACCCUGAAGACCCAGAGCAUGAUAUUUCAGCGGAAAUGAGUUCUGCUCACAUAGCACAAGGUUCUCAGGAGUCUUGUAUCACACGAAGCGGGGACUUCCUUGGGGAGACUAUUGGGAAUGAAUUGUUUAAUUGUCGGCAGUUUAUUGGUCCACAGCACCACCACCACCACCACCACCACCACCACCAUCACCACCACCACCACCACCACCACCACCACCAUCAUGAUGGACAUAUGGUUGAUGAUAUGCUAAGUGCAGAUGAUGUCAGUUGCAGUAGCUCGCAGGUCAGUGCAAAAUCAGAAAAAAAUAUGGCUGAUUUUGAUGGUGAAGAGUCUGGAUGUGAAGAGGAACUAGUUCAGAUAAAUUCACAUGCAGAACUAACAUCUCAUCUCCAACAACAUCUUCCCAAUUUAGCAUCUAUUUAUCAUGAACAUCUUAGUCAAGGACCCGCAGUCCAUAAGCAUCAGUUCAACAGUAAUGCUGUGACAGACAUUAAUUUGGAUAAUGUCUGCAAGAAAGGAAACACUUUAUUAUGGGAUAUAGUGCAAGAUGAUGAUGCAGUUAAUCUUUCUGAAGGAUUAAUAAAUGAGGCAGAGAAACUUCUUUGUUCCUUGGUUUGUUGGUUUACAGAUAGGCAGAUUCGAAUGAGAUUCAUUGAAGGCUGCCUUGAGAAUUUAGGAAACAACAGAUCAGUAGUGAUUUCUCUUCGUCUUCUUCCAAAACUGUUUGGUACUUUUCAGCAGUUUGGUAGCAGUUAUGAUACACAUUGGAUUACAAUGUGGGCAGAAAAAGAACUGAACAUGAUGAAGCUUUUCUUUGACAAUCUGGUGUAUUACAUUCAAGGUAUAAGAGAAGGAAGACAAAAGCAUGCGUUGUACAGCCAUAGUGCCGAAGUUCAAGUUCGACUUCAGUUCCUAACUUGUGUGUUUUCAACUCUGGGAUCACCUGAUCAUUUCAGGCUAAGUUUAGAGCAAGUCGACAUUUUAUGGCAUUGUUUAGUAGAAGAUUCUGAGUGCUAUGAUGAUGCACUUCAUUGGUUUUUAAAUCAAGUUCGAAGUAAAGAUCAACAUGCAAUGGGAAUGGAAACCUAUAAACAUCUUUUCCUGGAGAAGGUAAUUGUAUAUCUUAGAAGUUUAUUUGUAUAAUUUCCUAUAUGUAUUUUAGUGUCUUGAAGUAU
rnacentral:lncRNA from 1 species